GAAGUGGGGGGGCGGUGCCAUGGCAAAGGAUUCCGCCGGGAGAGGUCCUCGAGGCGAGUUUGUCCCCGCGCCGCGGCUCCCCGACUCGGCUUCCGAGCCCGGGGCCGGGCUGAGGGCUGAGUGCGUCCGGCCCUCCCGGUCCAGGUGAAUGUAAGAACUGAUGACGGUGAGCCCGAGCGCGGCGAACUGGAUGAACAGGGGCCCGAGAGCCAGUGUGGCCGGCUCUCCGCAGGCCCUGGCGGCCGGGGCGGCCUAGUGUCUCCCGAGCGCCCUGAGCGCGACGGAUCCUGCCCUGCGCGUCAUUGGCCUCUUCUCCUUCGCGCGUUGAUGGAGAAGCAAGAGCCUCAGCCCCUGGGAUGAGACGCCUCCUCUGUGUCCAAUGCUGUCUGAGGCUUGAAUCCAGCCUGAGAAACCACAUCUGAAAAACCCUGCCUAUGUCUGCAGUAUCAGCUUGGAUUCCUCAGGUUAUUCAGGGCUGGAUUAUCUUCAGCAGUGUUAAAUAUAUUACCAUCAAUUUAGGAGAUGGCUUCUUUGCAAAGGAAAGGGCUGCAGGCAAGGAUUCUCAGCUCUGAAGAAGAGGAGAAACUGAAAAGAGAUCAAGCUUUGGUGUCUGAUUUUAAGCAGCAAAAACUGGAAAAAGAGGCUCAGAAGAACUGGGACCUUUUUUACAAAAGAAAUAGUACUAACUUCUUCAAAGAUAGACACUGGACCACCAGAGAGUUUGAAGAGCUCAGAUCAUGUAGAGAGUUUGAAGAUCAAAAAUUGACUAUACUUGAAGCUGGCUGCGGUGUUGGGAACUGUUUAUUCCCACUUUUAGAAGAUCUGAAUAUCUUUGCCUAUGCCUGUGAUUUUUCUCCAAGAGCAGUUGAAUAUGUCAAGGAAAAUCCUUUAUAUGACACAGAAAGAUGCAAGGUGUUCCAGUGUGAUCUAACCAAAGAUGACCUUCUGGAACAUGUGCCCCCAGAGUCUGUGGAUGUUGUCAUGUUGGUAUUUGUACUCUCUGCUGUUCACCCUGAUAAGAUGCACCUUGUCUUACAAAAUAUUUACCAGGUAUUAAAACCAGGCAAAAGCGUCUUGUUUCGUGACUAUGGGCUGUAUGAUCAUGCCAUGCUUAGGUUUAAAGCUGGCAGCAAACUUGGAGAAAACUUUUACGCUAGACAAGAUGGAACCAGAUCAUAUUUUUUUACUGAUGAAUUCCUGGCUCGGCUCUUUACGGACACAGGUUAUGAAGAAGUGGUGAAUGAGUAUGUGUUUCGUGAGACGGUGAACAAAAAAGAAGGCCUGUGUGUGCCAAGAGUUUUCCUUCAGAGCAAAUUCCGAAAGUGUCCUAAGAACCCAACUCUGGGUCACAAGUCCUGACCUUUCACGAGGUUGACAGUUGUGCCUCCCCUUGAAGAGGAAAGUUUAAAGUCACUCUUCAUUUUGGAUAUUUUUAUAUUUUUUUAUAAUGAGGACAUAUAAUUUUUAUAUUGAAAAGUAGCAAGUGUCUGUGUAUGUCUUAUGGAAAUGCAAAUAAAAUUGCAAGGGCUGAAAAGUGAAGUUUUACAGUAUAAUGUAAUGUAGCCAUGCUGUCUGACUAAAAUUCCACCAAGGGGAAAGCAUAAGCACUAAAAGAGAUCCUUGCCAUCGGUAAAUGUGCCGUGAUUCAGUAAAUGUGCCUCCAGGCAGCAUGUCAGGCAAUCCUGUGGAAAAAUGAGGCCAAAUAGACUAAAAUAACACAUCCGGAUGUAUUUUUAGCCUGAAGGAUUGUUCUCUUUCUAGUGUCUCUCAUUUGCCCAUUUCUCUCUGCUUCCGUUCAUUUAUGUGCCUCUUCAGGACCAGUGUCACACAUACAGCUUUUGCUAGGACUCAAGAACCCACCAUGGCGCCCUGCCUAAUUCCUGAGACCCUCUCUAACUGAGCCAGGACCUGGCCACACUGCCCCCCGGGGAGAGAGGGGAACGCCAUCACCUGUCCUCCCCAUCUACCCGAUGCAGUUUCUCCAGGAAUACAGUGGAUGGACUGUCCCCGUAAAGGACAGUCCGACCCCAUAAAGGAAGGACCGCAGAGUUUUCACUUGGAAUAUUUAAGGUUGGCGUAAUGACAUACUACCCACCUUGGACAUUGACAUUGAGCAAGGUAACCUCUCAGUGACCCACUUUAAAAUAUGUUGGUUGUAAGGUCUACUUAAAUGAUGUGACGUAGUCCAUCAGAGUUUCAGCCUUGAGCCAAUGGAUUGGAUUAAGAAACAAUAAAAAUAAGGCUAAGCAUAAUAAAAACAAGGCUUCAGUCCCACUGCCUCUGGGUCCCCCUGUUGAUUCUCCCCAGGCAAACCUCUAUUAUUGCACCCCAGGUUAAGACAGAGCAGCAGGGAUUUCCACGGGUUGGGUGCCCAGGGACCCAGGGAAGCAAAGCCACAGUUUUAGUAGCAAAACUUGAACAUUUAUUAAAUCAUAGACUACGAACAGUCCACCAAUAUUGCCUUGUCUUCACAGAAAGCAGCUCCAGAAAGGCAGUGAGUACUAGUUAACAGUAUUAUAGAGAAUAGUAUAAGUACCAUAAUGUUAUAUAGUAUGGUAUAUAUACUAUGUCUAGCAUACAUAUUAUACAAUAUGUAUCCUAUACCACAUAGUACAAGGUAUUUCUUUUGAGUUUUUGGUAUGUACUACAUACAGAAAUGCUAAUAAAGUUGUAUCACGUGAUUUGGAGUUUGGAAAUCUGGGUUCAAGUGCAGGACUAUACCCCCGACAAGUCACCAGCUUUCCGGAGCCUCAGCUUUCCCAUCUCUAAGGCUGAGCCCCUGUGACCUACAGGGUUGCUGCCAGUGCUAAAUGAGAUCAUAGAAUUGGGAGUGCUUUGUUUACUAAAAAGUGCCAGCCAAGUGCUAGUUAUUUCUAUUAGUUUGUAUUCCCCAUGAAAAUGGUCUCUCCCAUUAUUAAAUCCUAAUUCUUCUUCCGGAAGGCUUUUAAUCUUGGGGUCCUCAAAAGGGCCUGGGAUUUGGAUGUGCUGCCGCAAGGUGGCGCUAGAUACUCAAUAAUCCCAUUGGCCUUUGUUCUCAUUUUAAUUGUGGUUCUAGCAUGUCCGUUUUUAUUGUUGUUGAAAAGGAAGGAAAAUGCUUACAAAUGUGUUUUCUAGGUCAGCUUUAUCUCGUAAGAUCAAUUUUGGCCUCGCUGUGGAAUAAGAAGUAAGGAUUCUUUUAUCCAGCAUUCAAUCUACUUUACCUACUGAAGGUCUCUCCAGAAAAUACUCUUCCAGCCCCUGCCAGGUGGAUACCAUCCUAGCUACCCGUGAUCUGGGAGCCAAGCCAGUGGGGAGAAUCUCAACAUUUGGAUUCUGGGGCUGUGGGGUCAUCGACAGCUUCCAGAUCCGCCAGCUCUUCAGGGUUGCUAAGGUUUCCGGGAUUCCUAAAGAGCUGCUGGGAACAACUGUGUUGUGCAGCGUCAUUGCCCCUCAGAGGUUAUGUUCCUGGGAGGACACCGUGGCAGCCUGGAAGCUCCUUCCUCCAGACCCUUCUCUCUCGAGACUCCUUGCAGGAACGGUGCCACCCACACCUUCUAGCAAGUGAUGGCUUCCAUGCCGAGCGUGGAGUCCAACGUGGGGCUUGAACCCAUGACCCUGAGAACAAGACCUGAGCUGAAAUCAAGAGUUGGCCGCCUAACCGAUAGAACUACCCCGGCACCCCUUAUCCUGAUCUCUUGAGGGCUGUCCUGGGGGUGCAACUCCCCAGCACUCCUGGCCAUUCUUGGCUGUGGGCCCAGCACGCUGCCCGCGGCAGAAAAAGCCCGCAAGCAUGCAGACAUGGGUGCCUGAGGAAGCCAGUGUGCUGAAGGAUUGCCGGCUGACAAUGCUGCAGCAGGAUGGGCGAGUUCAACACACCUGGCCGCAGUAAGCCAAAGAAGACGAAACACAGUUUCACUUUGACUUUGAUUAAAAAUGUGAUUGAAAGAACCUGGACUUUCAACUUCUACCCCCCACCCCCAAACUUGUCACAGUCUGUGAUCUUCACGGGUGGUUCCUGUAGCAAGGUCUUGGCGGUUACGUCCCUAUGGUCCACACAGACAGCCAUGUUCGAAAUUAACAUUGAUUGCAGAGCCAUUCCGAGACCAAGAAUCGAAACAAGAGUUUAGUUGAGAUGAAAGGUUAUGUCCUUUAUCAGGAAACUUCAUCCUGUCCUCACAAAGGAACAGCUGUGAUGAUCUACAGGAAUAGGUCUGUCUGGUUGUGAGAAUUAUUGACUUACAGCCACCAGCAGCCAUCUAGAAAUUCUGGCAUUGCAGAUGAAGACCUACAGCUUGGGAGAGUCUCAGGGGGGACUUGUUUUGUAGGGUUUGAUUGGGGAUAGGAUAGGGGUUGUCUCCUUUGGGAUAAUACAACCAUUUGAAGUACUGUCAAGAUUCUUAUUCUAGACGCAUCAUGUGUCGCAUCGAUGAUCUGUCUCAAUUACAGAGAAUCUGAUUUAUCCCACAGUAUUUGCUGUUCAACUUUCACACUUGUAGCUUGACCACUCAGCCUUCUUGUGGAACUAAAACUGUCCAGCUGUAGCACCUGGAAAAAUAUUUCUUUCUCCCGAAACACUGCAUUGUCUCAGUAGACCCACAAAUCCAAAUGAAAAAGCAACCUCAAAAAAUCAGCAGGAAGGAAGGCAGGUGAUAGUUUGAGUUCUCCGUUCUUGUUGAUUGUUCUUGGAAAUACCCCUUUGCUCAUGGCGACCUUUUCUUUUACACUUCCUUUCCUGUGGGUUAAAAUCAUGCCCUUGGGACUCAGGCAUCUCUGUUGGCCCCAACUGCUUUUCAUCCCUGCCUCCCCUUCAUUUCCUCCCAUACAGAUAGACUCAUAGCCAAGGAAGGUGGUGUUCUUAGAGCUGUGGUGUUAUUAGGGGCAUUGGUCCCUGGUGGCAUCUCACACAAAUGUUGGGAUGGAAUAGAAGCUUUUACCUUGGCCUUCACCCUUGGUCCCUGCAAUUAAUCUAGACCACUUUCACUUCACGAGUCUGCUUUACCCACUUUGUUCUCUGACUCUGGAGCCUCGGUUCAGGCUUCUCAGGCCUCCAUGCUCUGUUUUGGGUAUUUAUUUGUCUCUGUCUCAACCCCCAGCCUUUUCCUAUUCACACAUUCUGCCUCCAGCCCCCAGCACUGCGGGGAAGAAGAAAUACUUCCACACCCAGAAUCAGCCAGACGAUUCCUCCCCCAGCCCCCAACAGAUCCUGGCCUAUAUUAGCGGUCAACUCCAAGACUUAAUUAACAUUGUUACCAGUGGUCAGAACUGAGCUCCUACAUCUCAGCUUCCAGGACAGCUCCCCUUCCCAAUAGUGGCGGCUUCCCUUUUUAUUAUUCAGCAAAGGAGCCCCCUUUAACUUUCUUUAUGUUAAAGAAAAACAAACUCCCAUCCUGCUCCUUGAUGCAUGUCUUAGUUUAGGUUCUCUGCAAAACAAAAGCUCAGAGAGACUUGGGUCUUGGGUCCAGGUGGCCUUUUUGGGAGGGGAGCCCGGGAUGCUGGAAUGAGGGAUUGAGGAAGGUAAGAGGAGGAAGAAGCCAGUGAGGGAUGUGUUAAUCCACUGGUUAUUGCUGUGGGUGACUGGGCUCACUCUUCCUGGUGGCCCUCUGAGGAACUGGUAGAGAAUACCCCCCAGAAUUGUGCCUCUGAAGAACCAGAGACUGGGGCCUCGUUCUACUGAGUUUCCAUCCCUCCAGUGGUUGAGGGCCGCCCUGGGAGUAUUAACUGCCCCCUCUACUUGGGGCUGCCUGUGUAAGGGCGAAGGGGACUACCGAAGCUUGAAACGAACCCUGCAGUGAAGAAGUUGAGGGGCUCCACCAGCACUUGAGGUGGGCACUGCCUGUGUGUGUGGAGAAUGUCCACCCUGGCCGCAGCUGGAAUCCCAGAGGGGCUGGCAGUUGGGAGCACAGAGAGCAUCAGCUACUAUUCAUGAAUUGUAAUGGAAAGCUAUCCUCCUCAUCAACCCCUCAAGAAACAAAAACAAAAUAUACUGAAAUGGAAAUAUCCCUAAGACCUGACAUAACCUCUACAGCUGUUUCUUCAAGUCCAAGAAGAGGGGAUGAUCAAAGACAGCCGGCAUCCGUGCAGUCAGGUCAGGGCCAACGCAAGGGACCCUUUCACUGGAGUGCCUUGUCACCCAAAGCCUGUGUGUUUCUAUGUAGAUGGGUUUUACCAGCUAAAGUCAGAUGAAAAAGAUGAUCAUCCCCAGGACCGUUGUCUCCCUUCGUCAGAGUCUUCAAGGAAGCUGACUCAAAGGUGUGUAGGGCUUGGGGAUAGAACCUUUCUGCUCCUGUGCAAUCUGAGGCUUCGGGAACAUUGAAAGUCAGGCUGCGAAUUGCUAACUAUGGGAUUCCCAAAGCAUCAAGGUCAUUCUAAACAGAGAGACAAUCUGGAUCAUGGAAUAGGAUAACCCAGGGGAUCUGGGACUCUUCUUGGUGGUUCAUGAUAUAGGUUGGCCUUUGAAAUAAGGAUUGGGUAUACUCCUAGAUAUUACUCUUCAUGAUAGGUACUAUUUGUUAUACUCAGAAUAGGUACACAGACCUUUUUUUACAUUAGCUUAUUUAAUACACAACAGCAAAGUAGAUCUAUUAUCACCACUUGACAAAUAAGACAAUCAUGGCUCCCAGAGGUUAAAGACUCGGAUUGUACAGCUUCAAAAGGAGUAAAUCUGGGAUUCUAAACUAGUUCAUGGGCAAAGACAGAAAUAUGGCCUCUGUUACGAUUGUAGAUACACCUUUUUAUAGAUCCAGGAAGACAGGCAACCUAACGGGCCAGCCUGUACCUCUAUAAAAUAGAAUAGCAAAUGGUUCAGAGCCCAGUCUUUGGGGUCAGAUGGUGUCUUUUAAGACCAUCAGGGAAUGGAAUUAGAUACAAAAUUAUCUCCAUGUCUCCCUUACAGCCUGUGAUUAAAUAGACUUUUUUUUAUUUUUUAUUUUUUUAUUAUUAUUUUUUAUUUAUUUGAGUGAGAGAGAAUGAGAGCUAGCAUGAGAGGUAAGAGGGUCAGAGGGAGAAGCAGACUUCCUGCUAAGCAGGGAGCCCAAUGUGGGACUCGAUCCGGGGACUCCAGGAUCAUGACCUGAGCCGAAGGCAGUCGCUUAACCAACUGAGCCACCCAGGCGCCCCUAAAUAGACUUUUAAAAAUAUAUAUUUUUUAAAUCACAGUAGAUUCUAUGUGCACGAGUAUGUUUUGUCAUAGGUAUCUGUCAUGAGAAACUGUUUUCCAGAAAAAAGUAACACAUUUUUUUUUAAAGAUUUUAUUUAUUUAUUUGACAGAGAAACACAGCGAGAGAGGGAACACAAGCAGGGGGAGUGGGAGAGGGAGAAGCAGGCUCCCCGCAGAGCAGGGAGUCCGAUGCGGGGCUCGAUCCCAGGACCCCAGGAUCAUGACCUGAGCAGGUCCUGAUCUGCCUGAGAAGGCAGAUGCUUAGCGACUGAGCCACCCAGGCGCCCCAAAAGUAACACAUUUUUGAAACAAAAAUGAUACCAUGUAUCCUUCUACAAGACGCAUUUGUGUCCUCAUUCCAGAAAUCUGCUUAUUCUUUGGGUCACACAUUUAUAUUUGGCAGCAAAUUUCAGAAGUUGGCAUGAAUGAGUUUCCUUGGGCAAGUGUGGAAGGAAGAGCUUGUGUGCACACCCAGCAGAAAUGAAACUGCUGGCUUGAUGGGUUUGCAGGUCUUCCUACAACAUGGAGAAACCAUUUGAAAACCUACACUUGCCUCUGGGAGGCUGCAAGCUUUCUUUGUUUUGUUUUUUCUUGAAGCUCUAGGUACGCAUUUCUUUUGUGCUCUGUCCAGCUUCCCUAUGAGCCUUCAGGAAGACAUUUCUCAUCAGCACUGCAGACAAGGAGUAAGCUGACACAUAGGUGCUUCAUGGAGUCAGAGAUUCUCAGUAUUGAAAGGGACUUUAAAGGUCAUGAGCCUGCAAUGGACAUCCGUGGCUUUGACUCAUUCAUUUUGCCGCAAAA